rnacentral:tRNA from 1 species
CGGGGCGUGGCGCAGCCUGGUAGCGCGCUUGACUGGGGGUCAAGAGGUCCCGAGUUCAAAUCUCGGCGCCCCGA